rnacentral:ncRNA from 1 species
AAUAAGUUUUAUUUUAGCUUUAAGUUUUAGUUUAUAUUUUUAUUUAUAUAUAAAUUUGAGUGAGAAAUUUAAAAAUUAAUUUGUUUAAAAUAAUUAAUUAAAAUUUAUUAUUAUAAUAAUAGUAGUAAUUAAUAUUAUUUAUAAAAGAAAUUUUGAAAUAGAAAUAUAUAAGAGUAUUGGCAUAAUUUGUGCCAGCAGUCGCGGUUAAACAGAUAAUACUAUUAAAUUUUAUUGGUUAAUAAUAAAUAAGAAUUAUUUUUAAUUUAAAAUUAAAUUUAAUAAGUGAAAUUAUAAAUUUAAAUUAAAUUAAAUAUUUAUUAAAUUAUAAAGUUAUGAAACUUAAAUAUUAAACUAGGAUUAGAUACCCUAUUAUAAUAAGUAUAAAUUUUUUAUGCCAGAGUAGUAUUAGUUAUGAUCUUGAAAAUUAAAAAAUUUGGCGGUAUUUUAGUCUUUUCAGAGGAACCUGUCCUAUAAUUGAUAAUCCACGAUUAAUUGUACUUAAUUUAAUAGCUUGUAUAUCGUUGUAGUUGAAUGUCUUAGGAGAGUAUAAAAUGUUCAAUAAUUAUAAUUUAUAAAAUAAAUCAGAUCAAGAUACAGCUUAUAAUUAAGAAGAGAUGGGUUACAAUAAAAUUAUUUAAUAAUGGUUAUAAUAAUUAACAUUAUUAUAUAAAGCGGAUUUGAUAGUAAUAUAAUUUAAUUAAAUUAUAUGAUUUUAGCUCUAAAAUAUGUACAUAUCGCCCGUCACUUCCAUUGAAAUAUUUAUUAAAAUGGAAUAAGUCGUAACAUAGUAGGCGUACCGGAAGGUGUGCCUAGAUAGAA